rnacentral:rRNA from 1 species
UACGUAGGGCGCGAGCGUUGUCCGGAAUUACUGGGCGUAAAGCGUGCGCAGGCGGCUUCUCAAGUCAGGGGUGAAAGCCCAGAGCUCAACUCUGGAAUUGCCUUUGAGACUGAGUGGCUUGAGUACGAGAGAGGUGAGUGGAAUUCCCAGUGUAGAGGUGAAAUUCGUAGAUAUUGGGAAGAACACCGGUGGCGAAGGCGGCUCACUGGCUCGUAACUGACGCUCAUGCACGACAGCGUGGGGAUCAAACAGG